GAUGAACGCUGGCGGCGUGCCUAACACAUGCAAGUCGAGCGGCAGCGCGGGGUGCUUGCACCCUGUCGGCGAGCGGCGGACGGCUGAGUAACGCGUGGGAACGUGCCCCAAAGUGAGGAAUAACUGCCCGAAAGGGUAGCUAAUACCGCAUAUUAUCUUCGGAUCAAAGGAUUUAUCCGCUUUGGGAGCGGCUCGCGUCGGAUUAGGUAGUUGGUGAGGUAAUGGCUCACCAAGCCGACGAUCCGUAGCUGGUCUGAGAGGAUGACCAGCCAGACUGGAACUGAGACACGGUCCAGACUCCUACGGGAGGCAGCAGUGAGGAAUCUUCCACAAUGGGCGAAAGCCUGAUGGAGCAACGCCGCGUGCAGGACGAAGGCCUUCGGGUUGUAAACUGCUUUUAUAAGUGAGGAAUAUGACGGUAACUUAUGAAUAAGGAUCGGCUAACUACGU
rnacentral:rRNA from 1 species